rnacentral:rRNA from 1 species
GCAUGAGUCGAUUCUACGUUGAAUACACCGGUUUUCGUACACCGAAGUUAAGCAACGUCGGGCUCGGUCAGUACUUAAUGAGCGAACGCCUGGGAACACCGCGUGACGUUGGCU